AUUUCUUUAGCUUAAAUUUAAAGCAUAACUCUGAAGAAGUUAAUAUACAUAGAAAUA
rnacentral:tRNA from 1 species